AGUGAACGCUGGCGGUAGGCCUAACACAUGCAAGUCGAACGGCAGCACAGUAAGAGCUUGCUCUUACGGGUGGCGAGUGGCGGACGGGUGAGGAAUACAUCGGAAUCUACUUUUUCGUGGGGGAUAACGUAGGGAAACUUACGCUAAUACCGCAUACGACCUACGGGUGAAAGCAGGGGAUCUUCGGACCUUGCGCGAUUGAAUUAGCAGAUGUCGGAUUAGCUAGUUGGCGGGGUAAAGGCCCACCAAGGCGACGAUCCGUAGCUGGUCUGAGAGGAUGAUCAGCCACACUAGAACUGAGACACGGACCGACAUACUAAGGAAGGCAGCAGUGGGGAAUAUUGGACAAUGGGCGCAAACCUGAUCCAGCCAUACCGAGUGGGUGAAGAAGGCCUUCGGGUUGUAAAGCCCUUUUGUUGGGAAAGAAAAGCAGCAGGUUAAUACGCCGCUGUUCUGACGGUACCCAAAGAAUAAGCACCGGCUAACUUCGUG
rnacentral:rRNA from 1 species